GUUGAAUCUCGUAUUUUGAUGAUGAAACUACUUGAUAUAUGUUUAUGAUUUAAUCUGCGUUUUGAGUGACGCAGGAUGCUUCGAUCAGGAUGAGACAAUUAAAGCAGGAAAAUCAUGUUGUGCCGGAAGAACAUGUUAGAAGAUUGGACGUCGGGCCGGUGGAUCGGUCGACGUAUCGACAGAAGGCUUCAGGCCGUGGACUCGGGCAUCGGGCCAAGAAGAGCGGGUAUUGUGCCAAGGAUAUCGGAGUUGCAGAGUCAACUGGCCGAUUGGGCAAUAGGCUGCAGGAGAGGACGAUGCGCCGAAGAAUCGGACGAAGCGUCGAGAGACC
rnacentral:lncRNA from 1 species